rnacentral:tRNA from 1 species
GUGUGAUACACCGGUAAACAGGUCUGCGCCACGUUUACACCGUGGAUGUCCGGGGUUCGAAUCCCUGCGCGCCCA